ACGGGUGAGUAAUAUAUAGGUAAUGUGCCCUAGAGAAGAGGAUAACAGUGGGAAACGACUGCUAAUACUCUAUAUGCCUUUUAAGACAAAAGUCUGCAAGGGAAAUAUUUAUAGCUCUAGGAUCGGCCUGUACGGGUAUCAGAUAGUUGGUGAGGUAAUGGCUCACCAAGGCAAUGACGCCUAACUGGUUUGAGAGGAUGAUCAGUCACACUGGAACUGAGACACGGUCCAGACUCCUACGGGAGGCAGCAGUGGGGAAUAUUGCACAAUGGGGGAAACCCUGAUGCAGCAACGCCGCGUGGAGGAUGACACAUUUCGGUGCGUAAACUCCUUUUAUAUAGGAAGAUAAUGACGGUACUAUAUGAAUAAGCGCCGGCUAACUCCGUGCCAGCAGCCGCGGUAAUACGGAGGGCGCAAGCGUUACUCGGAAUCACUGGGCGUAAAGAGCGUGUAGGCGGGUUAAUAAGUUUGAAGUGAAAUCCUAUGGCUCAACCAUAGAACUGCUUUGAAAACUGUUAACCUAGAAUAUGGGAGAGGUAGAUGGAAUUUCUGGUGUAGGGGUAAAAUCCGUAGAGAUCAGAAGGAAUACCGAUUGCGAAGGCGAUCUACUGGAACAUUAUUGACGCUGAGACGCGAAAGCGUGGGGAGCAAACAGGAUUAGAUACCCUGGUAGUCCACGCCCUAAA
rnacentral:rRNA from 1 species